GAUGAACGCUAGCUACAGGCUUAACACAUGCAAGUCGAGGGGCAGCAGGGAUUUAGCUUGCUAAAUCCGCUGGCGACCGGCGCACGGGUGCGUAACGCGUAUCCAACUUUCCCGUUACUCAGGGAUAGCCUUCCGAAAGGGAGAUUAAUACCUGAUGGUGUUUGAAAUUCGCAUGUUCUUCAAACUAAAGAUUUAUCGGUAACGGAUAGGGAUGCGUGACAUUAGAUAGUAGGCGGGGUAACGGCCCACCUAGUCUACGAUGUCUAGGGGUUCUGAGAGGAAGGUCCCCCACACUGGUACUGAGACACGGACCAGACUCCUACGGGAGGCAGCAGUGAGGAAUAUUGGUCAAUGGGCGGAAGCCUGAACCAGCCAAGUAGCGUGAAGGAUUACAGCCCUACGGGGUUUUAAACUGCUUUUGUAUGGGAGCAAUAAGUCUUACGUGUAGGAUGAUGAGAGUACCAUACGAAUAAGCAUCGGCUAACUCCGUGCCAGCAGCCGCGGU
rnacentral:rRNA from 1 species